rnacentral:rRNA from 1 species
AGAGUUUGAUCAUGGCUCAGGAUGAACGCUGGCGGUAUGCCUAACACAUGCAAGUCGAACGAUGUCUUCGGACAUAGUGGCGGACGGGUGAGUAACGCGUGAGAAUCUGCCUCUAGGAUGGGGAUAACGGUUGGAAACGACCGCUAACACCCAAUAUGCCGUAAGGUGAAAAAUUUAUUGCCUGGAGAGGAGCUCGCGUCUGAUUAGCUAGUUGGUGGGGUAAGAGCUCACCAAGGCUUCGAUCAGUAGCUGGUCUGAGAGGAUGAGCAGCCACACUGGGACUGAGACACGGCCCAGACUCCUACGGGAGGCAGCAGUGGGGAAUUUUCCGCAAUGGGCGAAAGCCUGACGGAGCAAUACCGCGUGAGGGAGGAAUGCCUUUGGGUUGUAAACCUCUUUUCUCAGGGAAGAAGAUCUGACGGUACCUGAGGAAUAAGUAUCGGCUAACUCCGUGCCAGCAGCCGCGGUAAUACGGAGGAUGCAAGCGUUAUCCGGAAUCAUUGGGCGUAAAGCGUCCGCAGGUGGUUUCCAAAGUCUGCUGUUAAAGACUGGAGCUCAACUCCGGAACGGCGGUGGAAACUUGGAAACUAGAGUUCGGUAGGGGUAGCAGGAAUUCCCAGUGUAGCGGUGAAAUGCGUAGAUAUUGGGAAGAACAUCGGUGGCGAAGGCGUGCUACUGGACCGUAACUAACACUCAGGGACGAAAGCUAGGGGAGCGAAAGGGAUUAGAUACCCCUGUAGUCCUAGCUGUAAACGAUGGAAACUAGGUGUGGCUUGUAUCGACCCGAGCCGUGCCGUANCUAACGCGUUAAGUUUCCCGCCUGGGGAGU